UAGUCUUUCAUGUAGAUUUUAAUUGAUGAAACAAUCGAGUCCACAGACACCCCCAAAGGGUAAACACAAAAACAAUGACUAAACUUUGAAUGAUAUUUAUAGUGACGUUACGUUUUUAGGGGCGGUUGCAAACAUAAAAAGCCAAUCAGCCUAGUCACAAACAAAAUGGCCAGGUAAAGGCAAAAGUUUAUGUCUGCUUAAAAAAAAGUUUUUUUUAUAACAAUUCAUCUUUUGACUAAGUCAACAAUGUACAAUAAAUACAUCAAGUUUUAAGUCGACUGAAAAGAUUGCUUUGUUUUUUCAACUAAGAUAAUAAUCAAACAUUUCUCAGAGAAUACAUAAAAUUCAAUUUCAACAAUACACCAAACAGCAUUAAAACAACAAAAAAAACAACAACAACAACAAGAAAACUAGUCAAACACCACUAUCUACAAUGUUAUGCUGAACAUUAUUUAUAAGUUAACGCUAACUCCUGAGAUGGGCAUGUAGUCGAGAUUAAAAAUAAAACAGUAAAACUUUGAUGUCAUCUAUAAUUAGUUGAUGUCAGCAAAUGAUGUACAUAAAGAAGUGGUUCUCCCAUUUUGUUUUCCUCACAAGGUGAAAGGUUAAGUUACUUA